GUUUGGAAACAGACUCAGAAGAAGAGAGGUCAUUCCAGUGGAUGGUGGAAGAUGUAAUCACUGACAAAACGGUUUUGUGUUACACAGAAUAGGGGAAGUGUUUGCUAGAAAUAUAGGUGUGCAAGUCAGCAACAAUUGAGAAAAGAUAAAAUGUGAUUUCUGAAAUCUGUGAACGAAUAAAAUGAUGAGGAGGAUUGGUGAUGCAAGAUGAGAGGACACAAAAAUGAAGUAGAAGGGAGUUGAAAGUCAAGUAAUUGUACCGCCACAGCAGUGCAGACAAAAAAGCAUGGGGAAAAAAGAAUAUUCAAUGCAAAAACAAAAGUAAAACGUGGAAUAUUGAGUAACUAAAAAUACCUGGAAAGAAUGGUAGUUAUCAGUGAUUCAUGGUAAAUAACUAUCAAUGAUCAGAUGACAAUCAGAAAAUGGCAGGAACAGAGAAUAAUGGUUAAAAACAAAGUAGGAGCUAAUUGCUGGUAUCUAAUAAUGUUAAUCAAUUGCUUAGAAAAGACAGGCAGUUGAAAAGAAAUAGGAGUUUCCUAAUUACACUGCAUAUAAAGAAAUGGUCUUUGGUAGCAAAGCAGGUGGAAAAUGGGAGUAAUAAUGAUAAGCUGAUAAAGCUUGAUUGUAUUAAACUGGAUCAGGUGAAGUGACAUAGCAGAGAGAGGAGUGACUGUGCAAAUUGAGUAAAUAGGAAGAGUAGGGUAGAUAUCUGAAUAAAUAUAGACAAAGAAUUCACUAAAGCUGUGGCUUCUAAAAAACGUUUUUCUGUAUUGCCAAAAAUGCUUCAAGUAGAGGUACUGAUCUACAAUAAAUAUAAGUCCCUACAUAUUUGAUAAUCAUUCAUUGUAAGUACCAGAAGACUAGAGAUCAGAAUAAAAAUUGUUCCUCUCUGAGGGAGGACUGGAAAGCAAAAUGCAGUCCUAAGAUCCUUAGUCUUUUUUUGUAUAUGAAAAUAUGUUCAAUAAUUGGAAUGAGCAUUACAAAAACAGUAGUGCUGACACAGGGAAAAUAAAAGCCGUUUCAGGUGCUGAAGAAAUAAAUGUGCAAGGAAUUAAAGAAGAUGAGACAAAAAUGCAAGGAAGAUGAAGAUCCAGGUAAGCUUAUUGUCACAGGGCAUAUUUUCACAGUAACAUUUUCCACAGUUCUCUGCCUUUGUUCAAAAAAAAAAACAAUUUGGACAUUAGCCAUGGGAGGAUGUCAGACUGUUUCUAUGAUGUGUCUAAUUCCAAUCCAUCUUCUGUCUACAGGCAACAGCAAAAGCAAACCUGUCAGCUCUGAGAGUUCUUUGAUUUCCACUGUGGGUUGGCUUUAAACAUGAAGACAGAGAAAAGGUAUUGUCAUGUGGAAAUUUCUGGAGCCAAUAAUGUGGAUCCUGGACUACCAUUCUCGUUAAGCACAUGCAGUGGUUCCUUUUCAGGAUGCAGAAUGCUAUACAAGUGUCUACACAGAUCAGAAAAGUUGAGUCUUACAAGACCAAAGGAACUGCAAUUUGCCACUGGGCGUACAAUGCUUUAGCCACUAAAACCCAUAAAAGUCCAGUUGAAUCGAGGCAUCUACAGCUCAGUAUGUUGUUUCCUAAUGAUAGACUUCAAGUAUCAGUAUUUAGUUGGAUUGGUUAUAUCCUAAGCAGUGAGAAUGGAAGAACGUGUUUAUCAGAAGGACAUCUCCAAAUUAUCAGAAGGACAUCUCCAAACCAUGUGAAAGAAAUAUCAGUCUGAAAAUAUACAUUCACCAACUCUAGCAACUUUUUCCCCUCUGAUUAUCAAUUAAUGCCCUAGUCAGCAAUGAACCUUAUUUUGUAUCAGACAUUGCACAUGGAAGCAAGAAAGCAAGAAAAACUGCAGCACCUUACUCCAGGGUAAGUAUCUAAAGUCACUUCCAGAAGAACUGAAGAGCUGAAAUGAGAAAGACUGAAUGAGCAUUAGACAUCUGCAAUUCAGAUUAGCCUGAAGUUUUAAUUGCUAUGUUAUCAGAAAUAAGUGCAUUUCAUUGAGCAGUAGCUGUUCAGGAAGACUUGGAGUCAUCAAUGGUAUAUCAUAACGAUGAUGACUUCAUCUCUCCAAAGGGUAUUAGCAAGGAUUCAUUUCAACCUGUCAUUCUAAAAAUGGUGAUACAAGAGUCAACAGUACUUUUCCAGUUUUGCUAUUACUUCACAAGCUAGUUGCAAAUCAAAUGAAUCUUUUCAACAUCUUUAGAAAGAACACGUGGCCCUUCAUCCUCUAAUUGUCCUGAAAUGUCUCCCCCUAAUGUGUCCACAUGUGCCUACAUAUGUGUGAGGGAAAGGAGGAGAAUAUCAAAAUGUAGGCUAAUUUUCUUUUAAUUUUCAAAAUCUCCAAAGUUUUGAUGUGUCUGGAUUGCAUUCUUGUUUUGAUUUAUGACUGUGUAGGUGGAAGGGUGCAGCUGCUCUGAAAUUCCAGUCAUGAUUCUUACCCAAAUAUAGACUAUCUGAAGUGAAUGCUUUUUGAAUCAAGCCAAUUUUUAAUUGGUGAAUUUCAGUAACUGUUGAAAUUAACCAUCUUCAGGACAAUAAGAGACAAAUGACAUGGAGGAUCCAGGGCUGCCUUGUAGCAAGGACCAAAACGAGAUGGGAAUGCAUGAGUAUCAGUAAGUAUCCAUUAAAGAGCACUGUCCAGAGAAAAAGAGAAUUACUCUUUGAUUAAAGAAUAGGAGUAGCCUGAAGCCAGGUAGAGAUAUACAGUUGAGAUAUGACAAGACAGAGAUUCCAUUCCCUAUUUGAAGUUUUGAAACCCUACACAGGCUGAUUAAUUUCUCUGCAAGACAGUGCAUGCAAUGGGAGUGUCAGAGGCAGCUUACAUAGUAGGGAGCUUGUUGAGUUUGAGGAAAGAGAAAAGGAUUGUUUCCUGGCUCAUACUGUUCCCUUUUUAUUCCACGUGGGUCACUUUUAUUUUACAAAAUAAAUAAAUAAAGACCCCACCAUCCCCCCCAAAAAACAACCAACCAGAAACAAACAAACAAAAACAAUGAACAAGCCCUUCUUUGCUAUCUCAUCUUAUCCCACAUACUCAUAUCCAAGCGGUACAAGCAAUAAGGAAUUUCUUAUUUUCUAUUUUGAGGACUGUGCAGUUGUCUUUUCCAGGUGUCAAGAAAAAACAUCCUUUUCAUCUGAAUUUAACAGAUCAGUUGAGCUAGUGGAUUUUUCCCUGAUUUCCUCUGAACAUAAGACAUCCAAUUAUGUGAUACAAAUGUAUGUUCUCAACCACAGAACCCACAGAGUUUGUUGUGAAAUAGUGGCAUCACUUGAUAGUUCAAUUACAGACAGGUCUUGCUUCUUCUGUUAUCUAUAAUACACAAUUAUGCCCACAGUAACCAUGGCUAAGAUAACACAAAUCUUAACUGUGACCAAGUCUCUCAUCACAAGGUGAUCAGGAGCAAUGCCAGGUGUUUAAGCCCCCACUGCUCAGUAAUCAUGGCAAGCAUAUUUCCUGAGUAAAGAUAUGGCUACCACCAGGGACCGGAUUUAACAUAAAAUGUACACAUAAGACAGCAACAACUGUUGUUUGAGCAUCCUUCCCUUAGCACACAUCCUGAAAGGUAAAGCAGAGCUCCGUGUAUGGUAAGCUGCUAGACUGAGGGAAAGGACAGAGCUUUCCAUUUCUCAGCUAACAAACGCAGGUGACCCGAGUUUUCUAGGAUAUUGGAGACAUGGUCAUACAACUAAUCACUCACAUGAGCUUGUGGUGCUUGGAAGCCAUUGCUGCAGAGUUCAUGCUACAGCUCUGGGAAGGCAAUAAAUGUUGUAUUGGAGGGUAUUCUGGCUGCCAUAUGAGCCAUCACUUACAGUUCAUAAAGCUAUGCAGUAAUUCAAAUGAUUUGCAGGGGACAGGGGUAUAACUGCCAAUCUUCUAAAGUUGUUUGAAGCUGAUUACUAGGGAAUUCCUGCAGUUUCAAUAGCAACUGCUGUGUGAUGUCUAUAGCUGGACAUUUCAAAACAUUUUCAUUGUGAGUUGCAAGUCCCUUAGGUCUAGUAAUAAAUUUUUAUGAGGAUUAAAUUACAUAGGGAUCUAACAGUUAUGUCUGUUGUUUACUCUUGAAAUUGAGAAGUAAAAGAAAAUGAAAAUAACGUGGUUGCUCACCUUUGAUUUUAAUAAUUAUAAUAAGAGUUCCCCUGUGUAGCUUGGAUGUCUUGGAGUAUUUUGGGUCAAACUAGUACUUGUAAAGUGAAAAUGGCAGUAAAAAUAUUGCAGAUAAGAACAUCAUAGAAGUCUAUAUUAAGUGACUCUUUAAUCUCUCAAAAUAUUUUUGAUCAUCAAAUGAGGAUGCUUAAAGAAUAUGGGAGUUCAGUAAUACACCAAGCAAAUGAAAAUUAAAACUAAACAAGGAAAUUCUCUUAGAUAAUUUCUGUCACUAAGAUGUUCUUUUUUUUUUUUUUUUUUAUUGGUAGUUACCUUGUAUGUUAAGA
ensembl:lncRNA